AUCCGCAAUUCGUUGGCGCAAUCGACCGGAAGUGUUUAAUUCCGUCGCCGGAGAUAAGCAAGCAAGGAAAUGGUGUGCGAUCGUCUUGUUAACUCUAUUUUUGGAAGCUUGGUGGAAAUUUCUAUGGUUGAUUCCGAAUAUCAGUGAAUUCUAUGGCCUAACAUUGAGCACACUUUUUUAAUGUAAUCGAGUCGAGCCGUGCCGGCUGUCCACAGGUGUAUUUUGUAUCUAGCAGACGAGGGGGAGGGGCCAUAUCCAGAGAGCAAGUAUGAAGUAGCAGAAACAGAAGCACUAUGUCGAAAUUCAUGAACCUGGACAGGUCAGUAAAUUUUGUCUGGAAAUAAAAGGGGUCCCAGAAUGAAAGAAAAAUGAAUGACUUGUCUAUUUGGGCACCUGAAUUGAAUCGAAUUGAAUUGUAAAUGAGAAAAUUUUAUGUUUUUUAAGUUUUGAAAGAACACGAAAAAUGGGACUGUGUGUUGUUUAGAAUUAAAUGCACAGAUGUGUACAAGACAUUCUUCGACAGGACAACCUGUGCUCCAUGUGUUGUUCUGAAUCGAAUUUAUAGUCGAAAGAACGAGGAACAAACUUGAAGGAGGAGGAGAGGUUAUAGGAUUCUUCGAAAUUUUUGAAAAUAAAUUAGUUGGUUUGGGAAUAGUAAAAUGUUGAAUAGAAAAUAAAUAUUUAACGUCGAAAUAAUUAGUUAUUUGUUUUUAUUUUUAUUUUUUAAUGACGUAGGAAUCUGCUGAGGCUAAUAUUAUUUUAAUGUCUUAUGUGUAUAAGUAAAUGGAGCCUUGAGUUCUUGAUUGUAAUAUUGUAAAUAAAAGAUUUAUAUGUAAUUGAUUUUUUUGAAUAGUUGAUGAAUAUUAAUAUUUCUUUUGUCUA